UACGUAGGGUGCGAGCGUUGUUCGGAAUUAUUGGGCGUAAAGGGUGCGUAGGCGGUUUGAUAAGUUUGGUGUGAAAUCUCUGGGCUCAACCCAGAGUCUGCACCGAAAACUGUCGGGCUAGAGUCCGGAAUGGGCGAGUGGAAUUCCUGGUGUAGCGGUGAAAUGCGCAGAUAUCAGGAGGAACACCAAUGGCGAAGGCAGCUCGCUGGGACGUGACUGACGCUGAGACGCGAAAGCGUGGGGAGCAAACAGG
rnacentral:rRNA from 1 species